GUUACACAAUUAUUUGUAAUAUACUUUUUGUAAUUAUAUGUUAUUCGUUUUUCAAGAUAUCUGGUUUUUUAGGAAAUUAAUUUAAUUAAGCUGAAUUUAAAAUUUUUCUAUUUAUUUAGUUUUUAUUUUGGUUUGAGUAAUGUUUAAGGGGAUAAGCUUUUAAUCAAAUUUAUAUAAUGAUUUUUUCUUAGUUUGACGUAGGAAUAGAAGUUUUCAUCUGUUGAAGUGUGUUAUUACUUGAUUUUGGUACAUUUAAUUUUUUGUUGUUUAUGUUUUUACUAAAAUUAUUAUUUUAAUUUUAUUUAUUUUGUAAUAAUGGUUAAAUUAGUAUAUUGAUGUGUUUAUUAUAUAUUUGGUUGUGAGAUUAUUUAAAGGAAUUCGGCAAAUUAAUUUUCUGCCUGUUUACUAAAAACAUGGCCUUUUGAUAAUUAUUUAAGGUCUGACCUGCUCUAUGAUUAAUUAAAUGGCUGCGGUAUUUUGACCGUGCAAAGGUAGCAUAAUCAUUAGUUUUUUAAUUGGAAGCUGGUAUGAAUGGUUGGACAAGGGAAUUACUGUCUCUGAAUAAUUUUAUUUGAAUUUUAUCUUUUAGUGAAAAAGCUUAAAUAUUUGUGAGGGACGAGAAGACCCUAUAGAAUUUUAUAAAUUAAUUUUGAUGGGAUUUUUGGUUUUAUUUAUUUAGUUAUAAUUAAUUUGUUUUGUUGGGGUGAUAGGAAAAUUUAUGUAACUUUUCUUUAUAUAUUACAUUGAUGUGUGAAUUUAUGAUCCAUUAUUUAUGAUUAAAAGAUUAAAUUACCUUAGGGAUAACAGCGUUAUUAGUUUGGAGAGUUCUUAUCGAUAAACUAGAUUGCG
rnacentral:rRNA from 1 species